CCAAGUUGAAAUUUAAUGUUGAAAAAAAAACCGUUACGCGAGAAACAAAAGUAAGAUUCAACGAAAGGACGGAAAAUGAAACAUCAAGGAAGAAACCUAGAAUCAUUUGAUACAAAAAAGCCGCAAGGUUUAAAUGCAAGCAUAUAUUUUCCUUUCACAAACAAGUAAGCAUAUGUUCGAACAAAAUUUUCGAAAGCGUCAACGGAGAAACCAAUAAAUUGUUCGGACAAGCAUACUACGAUUUUCAUAAAACCAAAUAGCAUGUCAAAAACAUUAAUACAAUAGAACUUUCGAAAAUAAAGAAAUCCAACAAAAAUAAUAUGGUUUAAACGAAAGGAUGGAAAAUGAAGCAUCAAGGGAGAAAACUAGAAAUGUUUGAUAAAAUGAAACCAUGAUUUUCAUAAAGGCAUAGAUAUGCAACAAAAUGCAAGGGUGCAGCUCACGAAAAGUUAUGGAUUAAAAAUGAAGCGUCAACGGAGAAACCAAUAAAUCGUUCCGAACAAGCAAAUUAUGGUUCUCAUAAAAUCAAUAGGAUGCAACCAAAUGUAGAUGUCUAGCAUGUAACCAAUAUAUUAUUUUCGAUAAAUAGGGACACGAAACUCUUGAACUUAGUUCUAAGUCUACGAUUAAAACGCCAGAGCACAAAAAAGCCGCAAGGUUUAAAUGCAUGCAACUAUUUCCUUUUCGAAUAUGGGUCAGCCUACUUAGGAAUUCAUAUUAUUUAUGUGGCUCUUACGAUGAUUUUGUCUUUGGUGGGGGUGGUAUGAGAACCUAUCCUUGUUUGGUUGGUGGAAUACGAUCUAAGGUGUAAUGGCUAUGUUGUUUUCCAAUAACAAUACGAUAUUAUUGAUUUUAAAUGUUUAUAAAACUUUUCAAGAAUACUUGAUUUAGAAUCUCUAACCAUUAGGAUGUAACAAGGUUCAAGUCUUCAUGGUCUACAGUCAUGAUCUAACCUUGUUGAUCUCACAUUCGAUAAAUUUAAGUUUUAGGACAGCAAGUAAGGCGGUUGGGAAAAUAAGGAUAAAUUGAACAAAACUCUGGGUUACAUCUUAGGGGUUGACAAUAUUUGUUCUCCAGUUGCUAAUUAGUCAUAUGCAAUCUAAUCCAAGGUGUUCUAGGAAUAUUUGUCGAGUCAUACUGGAUGCAUCAGGACGGUCUCAUUAUGUGCAUCCAUAAACUUGGUCGUGGUAGAAAACGGGAUGCUAGAUGGCAUGUGCAGCAAUAACUUUUCUUUUUCUCAAAAAGGCAAAGAUGUAUGUAUGAUAUCAUGAUGAAUGAAAUGAUGCGAUGCAUGUAUGAUAUGAUACAAUGCUUAUGGAGAUAUUUUGUAUUGCGUACAUGCCAUAGAACAAUCCUUUCGGGAAAAUUGUUCUUGAGACUAUUGAUCCUACUCAUGGUUUUUCAUGGGCAUUGGAAUGGUUGUAACUCUUUAUACGCUAUAGGCUAGGAUAAGGUGACAAAAUUAAACAUUUUUUUACCUAGACUCGUAACAAAGUUCUCCUUAUCUAGGAAAGAGAUGGUAAUUUUAAAACAAAUGGAUUAUCUUAGAGAAGUUUUCAAAACCUAAAAGUGAAGUUCCUAAACCAUGUUGUGAGUUGCUACGAUGUACAAAUCUUGCAUCCGACCGUAAAGGGUCACAAAAUUUGCACACUGAGCCAUCUCAUCUUAAAUUACAUAGUUUGCUUACGACUUGUUCCUAGUAUGAUAUUUCCAUUUAGGCUUGUGGGGGCUUGCAAAGGUUACAUGUUGUCUCUGGGUUUGUAAGUUCAUGGCACUCUAUCCCCCUUAAAAUAAAAUAAAAUUUUGCAAUGGGGUUUAUCAAGAAAUUUAAAUGGAAGAGCUAAAUAGGUCUAUGUGCCAUAUGCUGUACUAUCCAGUCCCGAGGCGCAAACUGAAGCAAAAGACUAUGCUAGAUGGGUGAUAAAUUAGAAAAAAAUUAUAUCCAUGAUCCUAACAAAGUUUUCUCCUAUCUGGGAAGGAAUGUUGAUUUUUUGGACAAAUAGAUUAUUUUAGAGAAAUUGGGCAAGACAAGUGAUGCAGUGCUGGAAUUUAUCGGUCUACUAUCUUUACCUAAUUUUUAGGUAAGUUCUAAAGGUUCAUAAGAAAUUUUUAAAAAGAAAAUCAGAGAGAUUGAUGGGUAACCUUUUGAGCUACCCUGAAAGAACCAAGAUUUUAUCCCUUCUAGAUUGGGCUACACAAAUUCGAUAAACAAAGUAUUUUUUUUUCGAUAAACAAGGUAACGUAACAACAAAAAUUAAAUUAGUUAUAAGUCUACUAUUAAAAUGCCGGAACACAAAAAAGCCGCAAGGUUUAAAUGCAAGCAAAUAUUUUCUUUUCACAAACUAGUAAGCAUAAGUUUAUACUACAAAAUUUAGGAAAUUGAGAUUUCAAAACGAAAAUAAAGCUUUAUAGUCCAAAGAGAAGUUCCAAAAAGAGAAAAUUUGUAAUUGAAGAAAUCAAACUUAAAGUACCGAGUUGAAACCUAAUGUUGAAAGAAAAACCCGUUACGCAAGUAAGAUUCAACGAAAGGACGGAAAAUGAGUUAUAAGUCGAAAAUGAAAAUGGUAGAGAACAAAAAAGCCCAAGAUUUAAAUGCAAGGAAAUAUUUUCUUUUCACUAACUAGUAAGCAUAAGUUCAAUCAAAAUUUAGGAAAUCUGAUAUUUCAAAACUGAAUUAAAGCUUUAACGUCCAAAGAGAAUAUCAAAAGCAUUAGUAGGAGAGAAAGUUCGAAAACAAAGAAAUCCAACUAAAAGCGUUCAGUUUGAAUGAAAGGACGGAACAUUGAAGCGUGAAGGGACAAACCUAAAAACGAUCCAUACAAGGAAAUCAAGAUUUUUAUAGAAGCUUCAAGGUGCAACAGAAUGUAUGGGUCCAGUUUACAACGAUGUUAUUUGUUUUCAAUAAACAAGAAGACGAAUCCAAAUAACUCAAUUAAUAAGUUCAAAAUUAACGUCAGAGCAAAAUAAAACGGUCAGGCUUCAAUGCAAAAGAAUAUUUUGCUUUUAUAAAACAGAAAAAAAAAGUUCAAACAAACUUAAGGAAGAUUAACCGUGACAACGAAAAAAAUUGCAAACUCCAAAAAGGAUAUUUGAAGAAUCAAUGCAAGAAGAACAUUACAAAAUCAAGGAAUCCAACUAAAAGUACAAAAUUUUAAACUUAUGGAUAAAAAAUAAAGCGUCAACGAAGAACCCAUAAAUCGUUUGGAACAAGUAAACUACGGUUUUCAUAAAAUCAAAAUGAUGCUACCAAAUGUAGAAGUCUAGCCCGCAACCAAGAUAUUUUUUCGAUAAACAGGGAAACGUAACUCUAGAACUUAGUUAUAAGUCUACGAUUAAAACACCAGAGCACAAAAAAGCCGCAAGGAUUAAAUGCAAGCAAUAUUUUCACGAACCGGUAAGCAUAAGUAGAUACAAAAUUUAGGAAAUUGAGAUUUCAGAACUAAAAUAAAGUUUUAAAGUCCAAAGAGAAGUUCCGAAAAGAGAGUACCUAGUUGAAAUUCAAGUGUGAAAAACAACCGUCACUUGAGAAACCAAAAUAAAGUUUUAAAGUGCAGUUAGCGUGUCAAAAGCAUUAAUACAAGAGAACUUUCGAAAAUAAAUAAAUCCAACGAAAAGCAUAAUGUUUAAAGGAUAGGUUGGAAAAUGAAGCAUCAAGGGAGAAAACUAGAAAUGUUUGAUACAAAGAAACUGUGACUUUUAUAAAGGAUUAGAUGUGCAACAAAAUGCAUCGGUCCAGCUCACAAAAGGUUAUUUGUUUUCAAUAAACAGGGAGACCCGACUCUACAACUCAAUUAUAAGUUCAAAAUUAACGUCGGAGCAAAAUAAAACGGUUAGGCCUCAAUGUAAAAUGAAUAUUUUGUUUUGUUAAACCAGAAAACAAAGUUCAAUCAAACUUUACGAAGACGAACCGUGACAACCAAAAAAAAAAGGAAACUCCAAAAAAGAUAUUUGAAGAAUGGAUGCAAGAAGAACGUUACAAAAUCUAGAAGCGUCAACGAAGAAAACAAUAAAUUGUUAGGGACAAGCAAACUACGAUUUUCAUAAAAUCAGUAAGAUGCAACCAAAUAUAACGUAAACCCGCAACAAAGAUAUUUUUUCUCGAUAAACAGGGUAACGUAACUAUAGAAAUUAAAUUAGUUAUAAGUCUACUAUUAGAUCAUCAGAGCAAAAAAAAAGCCGCAAGGUUUAAAUGCAAGCAAAUAUUUUCUUUUCAAAAAACUAGUAAGCAUAAGUUUAUACAAAAUUUAGGAAAUUGGGAUUUCAGAACUAAAAUAAAGCUUUAGAGUGCAAAUAGAAGUUCAAAAAAAGAGAAAAUUUGUAAUUGAAGAAAUCAAAUUUAAAGUACCAAGUUGAAACUUAAUGAUGAAAAAAAUCGUUACACGAGAAAGAACAGGAAAUAUUUAAAGUCCAAAUAGCAGAACGUUAAAAAAAAAGCAAUCCAACUAAAAGCAUAAAGUUUAAAUGAGAAGACGGAAAUGAAGCGUCAAGGGAGAAACCCAUAAACGUUUGGUACAAGGAAACCAUGAUUUUUCAUGAACUUAAGGAAGAUGAACUGGGACAACGAAAAAAAAAAUGGAAACACCAAAAAGGACAUUUGAAGAAUAGAUGCAAGAAAAACGUUACAAAAUCAAGGAAUCCAACUAAAAGUAAAAAACUUAAACUUAUGGAUGAAAAAUAAAGCGUCAACGAAGAACCGAUAAAUCGUUCGAAACAAGCAAACUACCGUCAUCAUAAAAUCAUUAGGAUGCAACCAAAUGUAGACAAAAAAUACCAAGUUGAAACCCAUGGAGUAAUAUAAAAAAAAGGUCACACGAGAAACCAAAAUAAAGUAUUAAAUUCCAAAUAGCAGAUCAAAAGUAUUAAUAGAGGAGAUUGUUCGAAGAUAAAGAAAUCCAACUAAAAACAUAAAGUUUAAACGAGAGGACGGAAAAUGAAGCGUCAAGGGCGAAACCUAGAAGCGUUUGAUACAAGGAAAACGUGAUUUUCAAAAACCUUCAAGGUGCAAAAAAAAAAAAAUGCAUGGGUCCAGCUCUCAAUAAAGUUAUUUGUUUUCGAUAAACAUGGAGACCCAACUAUACAGCUCAAGUAUUCAAGUUAUUUGUUUUCAAUAAACGGGGAGACAAAACUCUACAAAUCAACUAAAAGAUCAAAAUUAACGACAAAUCAAAAUAAAUCGGUCAGAGCUUAAUGCAAAAGAAUAUUUUGUUUUUAUAAACCAGAAAACAAAGUUCAAACAAACUUAAGGAAGACGAACCGUGACAACAAAAAUAAUUGGAAACUCCAAAAGGAUAUUUGGAGAAUUGAUGCAAGAAGAAUGUUUCAAAAUCAAGGAAUCCAACUAAAAGUACAAAAUAUAAAUUUCUCGAUGAUAAAUGAAGCAUCAACGGAGAAACCAAGAAAUCGUUUGGUACAACCAAACUACGAUUUUCAUAAAAUCAAUUAGAUGUGACCGAAUAAAGACAUCCAGCUCGCAACUAAAUAUUUUUUUGAUAAAAAAAGGAGACGUAACUCUAGAGUUUAAAUAUAAGGCGAAAAUUAAAACGUCAGAGCACAAAAAAGCCGCAAGGUUUAAAUGCGAGCAACUAUUUUUUUUCACAAACUAGUAAGCAAAAGUUCAUACAGAAUUUAGGAAAUAAAGCUUUAAAGUCUGAAGAGAAGUUCCAAAAAGAGAAUCUUUAUAAUUGAAGAAAUCGAACUAAAAGUACCAAGUUAGAACUUAAUGAUGAAAAAAAUAGAUCGUCACGCGAGAAACCAAAGUAAAGUUUUCAUAAACCAGGUAUCAAAGUUCAAACCAACUUAAGGAAGACGAACGGUGAUAACCGAAAAAUUUGGAAACUCCAAAAAGGAUAUCUGAAGAAUGAAUGCAAGAAGAACGUUUGAAAAUAAAGGAAUCCACUUAAAAGUACAAAAUUUAAAACUUACGGAUGAAAAAUGAAGUGCCAAUGGAGAAACCAAUAAAUCGAUCGGACAAGCAUACUACGAUUUUCAUAAAACCAAAUAGCAUGUCAAAAGCAUUAAUACAAUAGAACUUUCGAAAACAAAGAAAUACAACGAAAAUAAUAUGGUUUAAACGAAAGGAUGGAAAAUGAAGCAUCAAGGGAGAAAACUAGAAAUGUUUGAUAAAAUGAAACCAUGAUUUUCAUAAAGGCAUAGAUGUGCAACAAAAUGCAAGGGUGCAGCUCACGAAAAGUUAUGGAUUAAAAAUGAAGCGUCAACGGAGAAACCAAUAAAUCGUUCCGAACAAGCAAACUACGGUUCUCAUAAAAUCAAUAGGAUGCAACCAAAUGUAGAUGUCUAGCCUGUAACCAAGAUAUUGUUUUUCGAUAAAUAGGGACACGAAACUCUUGAACUUAGUUCUAAGUCUACGAUUAAAACGCCAGAGCACAGAAAAGCCGCAAGGUUUAAAUGCAUGCAAGUAUUUCCUUUUCGAAUCUGGGUCAGCCUACUUAGGAAUUCAUAUUAUUUAUGUGGCUCUUACGAUGAUUUUGUCUUUGGUGAGGGUGUUAUGAGAACCUAUCCUUGUUUGGUUGGUGGAAUACGAUCUAAGGUGUCAUGGCUAUGCUGUUUUCUGAUAACAUUACGAUAUUAUUGAUUUUAAAUGUUUAUAAAACUUUUCAAGAAUACUAGAUUUAGAAUCUCUAACCAUCAGGAUGUAACAAGGUUCAAGUCUUCAUGGUCUAAGGUCAUGAUCUAACCUUGUUGAUCUCACAUUCGAUAAAUUUAAGUUUUAGGACAACAAGGCGAUUGAGAAAAUAAGGAUAAAUUGAACAAAACUUUGGGUUACAUCUUAGGGGUUGGCAAUAUUUGUUCUCCUGGUGCUAAUUAGUCAUAUGUAAUUCUAGGAAUAUUUGUCGAGUCAUACUGGAUGCAACAGGACGGUCUCAUUAUGUGCAUCCAUAAACUUGGGUCGUGGUAGAAAACGGGAUGCUAGAUGGCAUGUAUAGCAAUAACUUUUCUUUUUCUCAAAAAGGCAACGAUGUAUGCUAUGAUAUCAAGAUGAAUGAAAUGAUGCGAUGCAUGUAUGAAAUGACACAAUGCUUAUGAAGAUAUUUUGUAUUGCACACAUUUUUUUUUGAUGGAAGGCAAAAGCUCAUGCCAUACAUGCCAUAGAACAAUCCUUUCGGAAAAAUUGUUCUUGAGACUAUUUGUCCUACUCAUGGUUUAUCAUGGGCAUGGGAAUGGUUGCUACUCUUUAUAGGCUUUAGGCUAGGAUAAGGUGACAAAAUUACUUUUUUUUUACUCAGACUCGUAACAAAGUUCUCCUUAUCAAGGAAAGAGAUGGUAAUUUUAAAACAAAUGGAUCAUCUUAGAGAAGUUUGCAAAACCUAAAAGUCAAGUUCCCAAACCAUGUUUGUGAGUUGCUACGAUGUACAAAUCUUGCAUCCAACCGUAAAGGGGCACAAAAUUUGCACACUGAGCCAUCUCAACUUAAAUUACAUAGUUUGCUUAUGACUUGUUCCUAGUAUGAUAUUUCCAUUUAGGCUUGUGGGGGCUUGCAAAGGUUACAUGUUUUGUCUCUGGUUUGUAAGGUCAUGGCACUCUAUUCCCCUUAAAAUAAAAUAAAAUAAAAUUUUGCAAUGGGGUUUAUCAAGAAUUUUAAUGGAAGAGCUAAAUAGGUCUAUGUGCCCAUAUGCUAUACUAUCCAGUCCCGAGGCGCAAACUGAAGCAAAAGACUAUGCUAGAUGGGUGAUAAAUUAGAAAAAAAACUAUAUUCAUGAUCCUAACAAAGUUUUCUCCAAUCUGGGUAGGAAAGGUAAUUUUUUGGACAAAUAGAUUAUUUUAGAGAAAUUGGUCAAGACAAGUGAUGCAGUGCUAGAAUUUACCGGUCCACUAUCUUUACGUAAUUUUUAGGUCAAGUUCUAAAGGUUCAAAAGAAAUUUUUAUAAAGAAAAUUAGAGAGAUUGAUGGGUAACCUUUUUGAGCUACCCUAAACGAACCAAGAUUUUAUCCCUUCUAGAUUGGGCUACACAGAUUCGAUAAACAAGGUAUGUUUUUCGAUAAACAGGGUAACGUAAGUAUAGAAAUUAAAUUAGUUAUUAGUCUACUAUUAAAACGUCGGAGCACAAAAAAGCCGCAAGGUUUAAAUGCAAGCAAAUAUUUUCUUUUCACAAACAAGUAAGCAUACGUUCAAACAAAAUUACAGAAAUUACCAUUUUAGAAGUAAAAUAAAGCAUUCAAUUCUAAAGAGAAGUUUCAAAAAGAGAAACUUUGUAAUUGAAGAAGUCAAACUUAAAGUAUCAAGUUGAAACUUAAUGUUGAAAAAAAACCGUUACGCGAGAAACAAAAGUAAAGAUUCAACGAAAGGACGAAAAAUGAAACAUAAGGGAGAAACCUAAAAACGUUUGAUACAAAAAAGCCGCAAGGUUUACAUGCAAGCAAAUAUUCUUUUCACAAAUAAGUAAGCAUAGAUUCAAACAAAAUUUUGGUAAUUUACAUUUUAGAAUUAAAAUAAAGAUUUAAAGUGCAAAGAGAAGUUCCAAAAAGAGAAACUUUGUAAUCGAAGAAAUCAAACUAAAAGUACCAAGUUGAAUCUGAACAAUGAAAAAAGAACCGUCCCGCAGGAAACCAUAGUAAAGUUUUAAAGUCCAAAUACACAUCAAAAGCAUGAAUACAAGAGGCUAAUAAAUCGUUCAGAACAAGCAAAAACUGCGGUUUUCAUAAAAUCGAAAGGAUGCAACCAAAUAUAUACGUCUAGCCCGCAGCAAAGAUAUUUUUUCGAUAAGCAGGGAAACGUAACUCUAGAACUUAGUUAUAAGUCUACGAUUAAAACGUCAUAGCACACAAAAGAGCCGCAAGGUUUAAAUGCUAGAAAUAUUUUCACAAACCAGUAAGCACAGUACAUACAAAAUUUAGGAAAUUGAGAUUUCAGAACUAAAAUAAAGUUUUAAAGUUCAAAGAGAAGUUCCAAAAAGAGAGUACCAAGUUAAAAUUCAAGUGUGAAAAAACAACCGUCCCUCGAGAAACCAAAAUAAAGUUUUAAAGUGCAGUUGGCGUGUCAAAAGUAUUAAUACAAGAGAACUUUCGAAAAUAAAUAAAUCCAACGAAAAGCAUAAUGUUUAAACGAUAGAACAGAAAAUGAAUCGUCAAGGGAGAAACCUAGAAAUAUUUGAUACAAGGAAAACAUGAUUUUCAUAAAAGCUUUAAGGUGCAACAAAAUGCAUGGGCCCAGCUCAUAACAAAGUUAUUUGUUUUCAAUACACAGGGAGACCCAACUAUACACACAACUAUAAGCUCAAAAUUAACGUCAGAAUAAAAUAAAAUGGUUGGUCAUAGCACAAAAAAGCCACAAGGUUUAAAUGCAAGCAAAUAUUUUCUUUUCACAAUUAAGUAAGCAUAAGUUCAAACAAAAUUACAAAAAUUGCCAUUUCAGAAGUAAAAUAAAGCUUUCAACUCUAAAGAGAAGUUCCAAAAAGAGAAACUUUGUAAUUGAAGAAAUGAUUCAACGAAAGGACGGGAAAUGAAACGUCAAGGGAGAAACCUAGUAACGUUUGAUAAAAAAAGCCGCAAGGUUUAGAUGCAAGCAAAUAUUUUCUUUUCACAAACAAGCAUAGAUUCAAACAAAAUUUUGGUAAUUUACAUUUCAGAACUAAAAUAGCAUGUCAAAAGUUUUAAAGUCCAAAUAGCAUGUCAAAAGCAUGAAUACAAGAGAACAUUCGAAAAUAAAGAAAUCCAGCAGAAAGCAUACAGUAAAAUGAAAGGAUGUAAAAUAAAGCGUCAAGAGAGAAGCCUAGAAAUGUUUUAUACAAGGAAACUGUAAUUUUCAGAAAAGAUUGAACGUGCAACAAACUAUAAGGGUCCAGCUCACAAAAAAGUUAGUUGUUUUCAAUAAACUGGGAGACUCAACUCUAGAACUAACGGCAGAGCAAAACAAAUCGGUACGGCUUAAAGCAAAAGAAUAUUUUGUUUUUAUAAACCAGAAAACAAAGUCCAAACAAACUUCAGAAGAUGAACCGUGACAACAAAAAUAAUUGGAAACUCAAAAAAAGAUAUUUGAAGAAUGUUUCAAAAUCAAGGAAUCCAAUUAAAAGUACAAAAUAUAAAUUUCUCGAUGAAAAAUGAUGCCUCAACGGAGAAACCAAGAAAUUGUUUGGUACAACCAAACUACGAUUUUCAUAAAAUCAAUAAGAUGCAACCGAAUGUAGACAUCCAGCUCGCAACCAAAAUAUUUUUUUUUUGAUAAAAAGGAGGCGUAACUCUAGAAUUUAAUUAUAAGGCCAAAAUUAAAACGACAUAGCACAAAAAAACCCCACAAGGUUUAAAUGCACACAAAUAUGUUCUUGUGAAAAAUUAUUAAUCAUAAGUUCAAACAAAAUUUCAGAAACUGAGAUUUCAGAACUAAAAUAAAGAUUUAAUGUCCAAAGAGAAGAUAAAGAAAGAGAAACUUUGUAAUUGAAGAAAUCAAACUAGCAGAACUAAACCGAAACUCAAGGAUGAAAAAACAACCAUCACUCGAGAAACCAAAAUAAAGUUUUAAAGACCAAAUAGCAUGUCAAAAGCAUUAAUACAAGAGAACGCUCGAAAAUAAAGAAAUCCAACUAAAUGCAGUAGGUUUAAACGAAAGGACAAAAAAUGAAUCGUCAAGGGAGAAUCCUAGAAAUGUUCGACACAAGGAAACCUUGAUUUUCAUAAAAGCUUCAAGGUGCAACAAAAUGCAUGGGCCCAGCUCACAACAAAGUUAUUUGUUUUCGAUAAACAGGGAGACUCAACUCUACAACUCAAUUAUAAGAGCAAAAUAAAUCAAUUAGGCUUCAAUGCAAAAGAAUAUUUUGUUUUUAUAAACCAGAAAACAAUGUUCAAACAACCUUAAGAUGAACCAUGACAACAGAAAAAAAUUGGAAACUCCAAAAAGGUUAUUUGAAGAAUCGAUGCAAGAAGAACAUUACAGAAUCAAGGAAUCCAACUAAAUGUAAAAAAAUUAAACUUAUGGAUGAAAAAUGAAGCGUCAACGAAGAAACCUAUAAAUCGUUCGGAACAAGCAAACUACGGUUAUCAUAAAAUCAACAGGAUGCAACCAAAUGUAGACGUCUAGACCGCAACCAAGAUAUUUUUUCGAUAAACAGGGAAACAUAACUCUAGAACUUAGUUAUAAGUCUACGAUUAAAACAUCAGAGCACAAAAAAGCCGCAAGGACUAAAUGCAAGCAAUAUUUUCACGAACCAGUAAGCAUAAGUACAUAAAAAAUUUAGGAAAUUGAGAUUACAGAACUAAAAUAUAGUUUUAAAGUCCAAAGAGAAGUUCCAAAAAGGGAGUACCUAGUUGAAAUUCAAGUGUGAAAAACAACGUCACUCAAGAAACCAAAAUAAAGUUUUAAAGUGCAGUUAGCGUGUCAAAAGCAUUAAUACAAGAGAACUUUCUAAAAUAAAUAAUCGAACGAAAAGCAUAAUGUUUAAACGAUAGGUUGGAAAAGGAAUCGUCAAAGGGAGAAAACUAGAAAUGUUUGAUACAAGGAAAACGUGACUUUUAUAAAGGAUUAGAUGUGCAGCAAAAUGCAUCAUUCCAGCUCACAAAAGGUUAUUUGUUUUCAAUAAAUAGGGAGACCCGACUCUACAACUCAAUUAUAAGUUCAAAAUUAACGUCAGAGCAAAAUAAAUUUGUUAGGCCUCAAUGCAAAAUGAAUAUUUUGUUUUAUUAAACCAGAAAACAAAGUUCAAACAAACUUUAUGAAGAAGAACCGUGACAACCAAAAAAAAAAUUGGAAACCCCAAAAAAGAUAUUUGAAGAAUGGAUGCCAGAUGAACGUUAAAAAAUCUAGAAGCGUCAACGAAGAAAACAAAAAAUCUUGAGGGAUAAGCAAACUGUGAUUUUCAUAAAAUCAGUAAGAUGCAACCAAAUAUAGCAUAAACCCGCAAAAAAGAUAUUUUUUUCGAUAAACAGGAUAACGUAACUAUAGAAAUUAAAUUAGUUAUAAGUCUACUAUUAGAUCAUCAGAGAAAAAAAAGCCGCAAGGUUUAAAUGCAAGCAAAUAUUUUCUUUUCAAAAACCAGUAAGCAUAAGUUUAUACAAAAUUUAGGAAAUUGGGAUUUCAGAACUAAAAUAAAGCUUUAAGUGCAAAGAGAAGUUCAAAAAGGAGAAAAUUUGCAAUUGUAGAAAUCAAACUUAAAGUACCGAGUUGAAACUUAAUGAUGAAAAAAAAUCGUUACGUGAGAAAGAAUAGGAAUGAUUUAAAGUCCAAAUAGCAAAACGUUCACAAAAAGAAGUAAUCCAACUAAAAGUAUAAAGUUUAAAUGAGAAGACGGAAAUGAAGCGUCAAGGGAGAAACCCAUAAACGUUUGGUACAAGGAGCGAUUUUUCAUGAACUUAAGGAAGACGAACCGUGACAACGAAAAAAAAUUGGAAACUCCAAAAAUGACAUUUGAAGAAUAGAUGCAAGAAGAACGUUACAAAUCAAGGAAUCCAACUAAAAGUACAAAAUUUAAACUUAUGGAUGAAAAAUAAAGCAUCAACAAAGAACCGAUAGGAUAAAUCAUUCGGAACAAGCAAACUACAGUCAUCAUAAAAUCAAUAGGAUGCAACCAAAUGUAGACAGAAAAUACCAAGUUGAAACCCAUGGAUAAAAAAAAAGGUCACACGAGAAACCAAAGUAAAGUAUUAAAGUCCAAAUAGCAAACCAAAAGUAUUAAUAGAGGAGAUCGUUCGAAGAUAAAGAAAUCCAACUAAAAACAUAAAGUUUAAACGAGAGGGGCAAAACCUAGAAGAGUUUGAUACAUGGAAACCAUGAUUUUUCAAAAACCUUCAAGGUGCAACAAAAUGCAUUGGUCCAGCUCUCAAUAAAGUUAUUUGUUUUCGAUAAACAUGGAGACCCAACUAUACAGCUCAAGUAUUCAAGUUAUUUGUUUUCAAUAAACGGGGAGACAAAACUCUACAAAUCAACUAAAAGAUCAAUAUUAACGACAAAUCAAAAUAAAUCGGUCAGAGCUUAAUGCAAAAGAAUAUUUUGUCUUUAUAAACCAGAAAACAAAGUUCAAACAAACAUAAGGAAGAUGAACUGCGACAACAAAAAUAAUUGGAAACUCCAAAAAGGAUAUUUGGAGAAUUGAUGCAAGAAGAAUGUUUCAAAAUCAAGGAAUCCAAUUAAAAGUACAAAAUAUAAAUUUCUCGAUGAUAAAUGAAGCAUCAACGGAUAAACCAAGAAAUCGUUUAGUACAACCAAACAUCAUAAAAUCAAUUAGAUGUGACCGAAUAAAGACAACCAGCUCGCAUCCAAAAUAUUUUUUCGAUAAAAAAGAAGGCGUAACUCUAGAAUUUAAAUAUAAGGCCAAAAUUAAAACGUCAUAGCACAAAAGCCGCAAGGUUUAAAUGCGAGCAACUAUUUAUUUUUCACAAACUAGUAAGCAAAAGUCCAUACAAAAUUUAGGAAAUGGAGACUUCAGAACUAAAAUAAAGCUUUAAAGUCCAAAGAGAAGUUCCAAAAAGAGAAACAAUAUAAUUGAAGAAAUCGAACUAAAAGUACCAAGUUGAAACUUAAUGAUGAAAAAAAAGACCGUCACGCGAGAAUCCAAAGUAAAGUUUUCAUAAACCAGUUAUCAAAGUUCAGACCAACUUAAGGAAGACGAACAGUGAUAACCGAAAAAUUUGGAAACUCCAAAAAGGAUAUUUGAAGAAUCAAUGCAAGAAGAACGUUUGAAAAUAAAGGAAUCCAACUAAAAGUACAAAAUUUAAACUUAUGGAUGAAAAAUGAAGCGCCAAUAAAGAAACCAAUAAAUCGUUCGGACAAGCAUACUACGAUUUUCAUAAAACCAAAUAGCAUGUAAAAAGCAUUAAUACAAUAGAACUAAAAAUAAUAUGGUUUAAAAAAGGAUGGAAAAUGAAGCAUCAAGGGAGAAAACUAGAAAUGUUUGAUAAAAUGAAACCAUGAUUUUCAUCAAGGCAUAGAUGUGCAACAAAAUGGAAGGGUGCAGCUCACGAAAAGUUAUGGAUUAAAAAUGAAGCGUCAAUGGAGAAACCAAUAAAUCGUUCGGAGCAAGCAAACUACGGUUCUCAUAAAAUCAAUAGGAUGCAACCAAAUGUAUAUGUCUAGCCCGUAACCAAGAUAUUUUUUUCGAUAAACAGUGACACGAAACUAUUGAACUUAGUUCUAAGUCUACGAUUAAAAUGCCAGAGCACAGAAAAGCCGCAAGAUUUAAAUGCAUGCAACUAUUUCCUUUUCUAAUAUGGGUCAGCCUACUUAGGAAUUCAUAUUAUUUAUGUGGCUCUUACGAUGAUUUUGUCUUUGGUGGGAGUGGUAUGAGAACCUAUCCUUGUUUGGUUGGUGGAAUACGACCUAAGGUGUCAUUGCUAUGUUGUUUUCUAAUAACAAUACGAUAUUAUUGAUUUUAAAUGUUCACAAAACUUUUCAAGAAUACCAGAUUUAGAAUCUCUAAUGGCAAUUAGGAUGUAACAAGGUUCAAGUCUUCAUGGUCUACGGUCAUGAUCUAACCUUGUUGAUCUCACAUUCGAUAAAUUUAAGUUUUAGGACAGCAAGUAAGACGGUUGGGAAAAUAAGGAUAAAUUGAACAAAACUUUGGGUUACAUCUUAGGGGUUGGCAAUAUUUGUUCUCCGGGUGCUAGUUAGUCAUAUGCAAUCUAAUCCAAGGUGUUCUAGGAAUAUUUGUCGAGUCAUAUUGGAUGCAUCAGGACGGUCUCAUUAUGUGCAUCCAUAAACUUGGGUCGUGGUAGAAAACGGGAUGCUAUAUGGCAUGUAUAGCAAUAACUUUUCUUUUUCUCAAAAAGGCAAGGAUGGAUGGUAUGAUGUCAUGAUGAAUGAAAUGAUGCGAUGCAUGUAUGAAAUGAUACAAUGCUUAUGAAGAUAUUUUGUAUUGCAUACAUGCCAUAGAACAAUCCUUUCGGGAAAAUUGUUCAUGAGACUACUGAGCCUACUCAAGGUUUUUCAUGGGCAUGGGAAUAGUUGCAACUCUUUAUAGGCUUUAGGCUAGGAUAAGGUGACAAAACUACAAAAAAUUUACUCAGACUCGUAACAAAGUUCUCCUUAUCUAGGAAAGAGAUGGUAGAAGUUUUUAAAACCUAAAAGUCAAGUUCCCAAACCAUGUUUGUGAGUUGCUACGAUGUGCAAAUCUUGCAUCCGACCGUAAAGGGGCACAAAAUUUGCACACUGAGCCAUCUCAACUUAAAUUACAUAGUUUGCUUACGACUUGUUCCUAGUAUGAUAUUUCCAUUUAGGCUUGUGGGGGCUUGCAAAGGUUACAUGUUGUCUCUGGUUUGUAAGGUCAUGGCACUCUAUCCCCCUUAAAAUAAAAUAAAAUAAAAUUUUGCAAUGGGGUUUAUCAAGAAAUUUUAAUGGAAGAGCAAAAUAGGUGUAUGUGCCCAUAUGCUGUACUAUCCAGUCCCGAGGCGCAAACUGAAGCAAAAGACUAUGCUAGAUGGGUGAUAAAUUAGAAAAAAAAAAGUAUAUUCAUGAUCCUAACAAAGUUUUCUCCAAUUUGGGUAGGAAAGGUGAUUUUUUUCGACAAAUAGAUUAUUUUAGAGAAAUUGGUCAAGACAAGUGAUGCAGUGCUAGAAUUUACCGGUCUACUAUCUUUACGUAAUUUUUAGGUCAAGUUCUAAAGGUUCAAAAGAAAUUUUUAAAAAGAAAAUUAGAGAGAUUGAUGGGUAACCUUUUUGAGCUACCCUAAACGAACCAAGAUUUUAUCCCUUCUAGAUUGGGCUACACAAAUUCAAUAAACAAGGUAUGUUUUUCGAUAAGCAGGGUAACGUAACUAUAGAAAUUAAAUUAGUUAUUACCCUACUAUUAAAACGUCGGAGCACAAAAAAAGCCACAAGGUUUAAAUGCAAGCAAAUAUUUUCUUUUCACAAACAAGUAAGCAUGCGUUCAAACAAAAUUACAGAAAUUACCAUUUUAGAAGUAAAAUAAAGCUUUCAAUUCUAAAGAGAAGUUCCAAAAAGAGAAACUUUGUAAUUGAAGAAGUCAAACUUAAAGUAUCGAGUUGAAACUUAUUUUUAAAAAAAACCGUUACGCGAGAAACAAAAGUAAAGAUUCAACGAAAGGACGAAAAACGAAACAUAAGGGAGAAACCCAAAAACGUUUGAUACAAAAAAGCCACAAGGUUAACAUGCAAGCAAAUAUUUUCUUUUCACAAAUAAGUAAGCAUAGAUUCAAACAAAAUUUUGGUAAUUUACAUUUCAGAAUUAAAAUAAAGAUUUAAAGUGCAAAGAUAAGUUCCAAAAAGAGAAACUUUGUAAUCGAAGAAAUCAAACUAAAAGUACCAAGUUGAAUCUGAACAAUGAAAAAAGAACCGUCUAGCCCGAAAAAAGCAUGAAUACAAAAGACUAAUAAAUCGUUCAGAACAAGCAAAAACUGCGGUGUUCAUAAAAUCGAAAGGAUGCAACCAAAUAUAUACGUCUAGCCCGCAGCAAAGAUAUUUUUUCGAUAAGCAGGGAAACAUAACUCUAGAACUUAGUUAUAAGUCUACGAUUAAAACGUCAUAGCACAAAAAAAACAGCAAGGUUUAAAUGGUAGAAAUAUUUUCACAAACCAGUAAGCACAAGUACAUACAAAAUUUAGGAAAUUGAGAUUUCAAAACUAAAAUAAAGUUUUAAAGUGCAAAGUUAAGUUCCAAAAAGAGAGUACCAAGUUGAAAUUCAAGUGUGAAAAAACAACCGUCCCUCGAGAAACCAAAAUAAAGUUUUAAAGUGCAAUUACAAAAAAGCCGCAAGGUUUAAAUGCAAGCAAAUAUUUUCUUUUCACAAACAAGCAUAAGUUCAAACAAAAUUACAGAAAUUGCCAUUUCAGAAGUAAAAUAAAGCUUUCAACUCUAAAGAGAAGUUCCAAAAAGAGACUUUGUAAUUGAAGAAAUCAAACUCAAAGCACCGAGUUGAAACUUAAUGUUGAAAAAUAACCGUUACACCAGAAACAAAAGUAAAAGAUUCAA
rnacentral:lncRNA from 1 species